rnacentral:rRNA from 1 species
AGAGUUUGAUCCUGGCUCAGGAUGAACGCUAGCUACAGGCUUAACACAUGCAAGUCGAGGGGCAGCGGGGAGGAAGCUUGCUUUCUCCGCCGGCGACCGGCGCACGGGUGAGUAACGCGUAUCGAACCUGCCUCAUACUCGGGAAUAGCCUUGCGAAAGUAAGAUUAAUGCCCGAUGUUUUCAGCGGUCCGCAUGAACUGCUGAACAAAGAUUUAUCGGUAUGAGAUGGCGAUGCGUCCCA